AUGUCACUUACCUAGUUAUACCUUACAUUUUUUUUGCCACUUUUAGGGGCCCCCUUCCUUGCGGGGCCUCCUCCGCUCGGAGGGUACGGAGGGUGCUCGCUACGCCUCUGAUGGGAAACUUUCU